AAUUUUUUAAAGAAUUGGUUUUUUAAAAAUGUAAAAGCUUUCCUAAGGAUUUGGAAAGCAGAAAACGUGGAUAAAGAAUAUGAAAAUUGAUAAUUGGGAACCAACAGUAAAUGAUCAAAUAUGUUCAAAGCAUUUUGAACAAAUAUAGUUCUACAAGACUGAUUCUAUGUCAAUCGUUCGUUUGCUUAAUGAGGCAGUCCCCACCAUUUUUUCUGAACUGCCUAAAAAUGUCCAACUAUCAAUGGCUCCUAAAAGAAAAUGAUCUCAUUCUCUGAAGCCUGGAUCUUCAACAGCACCUUCAACUGUAGUCAAAUCCCCAGAAAUCCCUAAAAAAGAUAUUGAGGAGAAAGCUCUUUCGAGUGAAAAUCAGGAACAGGAAAUCAAGAGAAAUUAGAGUACUUGAACAAAAAUAAAAGUAACUAUGUACUUUAAAAGAUAUUAUUGAAGAACUCGAAAAUUCAUCAGAAAAUGGAGAGGGAAUGCUGCUAAGUAGUAUGUGUACUGUGGAAAGUGGAAUAAAUAUAUAGCAAGAAACUAUAAACAACAUCAAAGCAUUUCAGCUGCUGCACUAAUGUAGGAUAGUGAGAAGAUUCACAAGAGUUCAACUUGUUGAGCUAGUGUAGUGGUGAAAAUUAAUUGUUAUAAGAUUAAAAAAAGUUUAAAGACAAUUUAAAUUUAUUGUAAGAGAAAAUAGUACUCUUUAUUUAUAUUUCAACUAUUUAUUAAUAUCAAUAAUUGAAAAAUAUCCAUAUAAUUUUCGGAGUAAGUAUUACAUUAAUAUUCAAGAGUAUUGAAUAAAGUAUUCAAAACUGACAAAUGUUAAAUUAAAGUUCCAAAUAGCAGCUCCUACCUGCUUGAUU